UUAUUUGAGAGUUUGAUCCUGGCUCAGGAUGAACGCUGGCGGCGUGCCUAACACAUGCAAGUUGAGCGAUUUACUUCGGUAAAGAGCGGCGGACGGGUGAGUAACGCGUGGGUAACCUACCCUGUACACACGGAUAACAUACCGAAAGGUAUGCUAAUACGGGAUAA
rnacentral:rRNA from 1 species